rnacentral:rRNA from 1 species
GACGAACGCUGGCGGCGUGCUUAACACAUGCAAGUCGAACGGAAAGGCCCUGCUUGCAGGGUACUCGAGUGGCGAACGGGGGAGUAACACGUGGGUGUUCUCCCCUGCACUUCUGGAUAUGCCUGGGGAACUGGGUCGAAUACCGGAUAGGAGCCAUCUUGAUUGUGAUGGUUGGAUAGAAUUUUCGGGGUGGGAUGAGCUGACGGCCUAUCAGCUUGUUGGUUGGGUAAUGGCCUACCAAGGCGGCGACGGGUAGCCGGCCUGGGAGGGUGGACGGCCAACAUGGGACUGAGGAUCGGCCCAGGCCCCUUCGGGGGGCAAGAGGUGGGAAUAUUGCACAAUGGGCGGGAGGCUGAUGCAGCGACCCCGGGUGGCGGAUUAACGCCUUCCGGUUGUAAACCCCCUUCGGCAGGGGAGAAAGUGUUUGUGACGGUAACUAGAUAAGAAGCACCGGCUAACUACGUG